UUUGACCUCAGGUUGCAAAUGCAGGCUGAUCCCUGGAGGAUGUUGACGUGUUUGAAAUCAAUGUAGCCUUUGCAGCAGUGUCUGCAGCAAUAGCUACAGAACAUAGAUCAAACCCCGAGAAGGUGAACAUCUAUGGAGGAGUCAUUGCCUUGGGCCAUCCUCUGGGAGCAUCUGGCUGUAGGAUUCUAGUGACCUUGUUACACACCCUGGAGAGAGUGGGCGGGACUAGUGGUGUUGCAGACCUGUGCACUGGGGGUGGGAUGGGGAUGGCAAUGUGUGUUCAGAGAGGAUGAGCCAUCACCCUUACAGUUCUCAUUAAAACACUAAACAGAACGUG
rnacentral:lncRNA from 1 species